GAGGAACGCUGGCGGCGUGCUUAACACAUGCAAGUCGAACGGAAAGGCCCAAGCUUGCUUGGGUACUCGAGUGGCGAACGGGUGAGUAACACGUGGGUGAUCUGCCCUGCACUUCGGGAUAAGCCUGGGAAACUGGGUCUAAUACCGGAUAGGACCACUUCUUGGAUGUUGUGGUGGAAAGUUUUUUCGGUGUGGGAUGAGCUCGCGGCCUAUCAGCUUGUUGGUGGGGUAAUGGCCUACCAAGGCGUCGACGGGUAGCCGGCCUGAGAGGGUGUACGGCCACAUUGGGACUGAGAUACGGCCCAGACUCCUACGGGAGGCAGCAGUGGGGAAUAUUGCACAAUGGGCGCAAGCCUGAUGCAGCGACGCCGCGUGGGGGAUGACGGCCUUCGGGUUGUAAACUCCUUUCGCUAGGGACGAAGCGUUUUGUGACGGUACCUGGAGAAGAAGCACCGGCUAACUACGUG
rnacentral:rRNA from 1 species